rnacentral:tRNA from 1 species
UCCCUGGUGGCUCAGAAGGUAAAGCAUUUGCCUGCAAUGCAAGAGACACGGGUUCAAUCCCUGGGUUGGGAG